UGGUUCCAGCAUCGAUGAAGAACGCAGCGAAAUGCGAUAAGUAAUGUGAAUUGCAGAAUUCCGUGAAUCAUCGAGUUUUUGAACGCACAUUGCGCUCCUUGGUAUUCCGAGGAGCACGCCUGUUUGAGCGUCAUUUCACUAUCCAUCUAUGGGUGUUGGACGCGGCGCGCGCCCCGUCUCAAUGAGAUUAGCGACCACGGAUGAACACUCGUCGGGUGGUCUCGACCUCUAUAGUUGACCUCAGAUCAGGCGGGGAUACCCGCUGA
rnacentral:misc_RNA from 1 species